rnacentral:lncRNA from 1 species
ACUGUGUGCCUACUGAAUAAUUUACAGUUCAGAGGCAACGGAUCAAUCGAAUACAACCGCGUAGAAGAACAAGUGCACGAGCAGCAGCAGCAGCAGUAGUAGGUACACUACUAAUGCGCGUUCAAGAACAAGUGGCAGCCAUUGAUCCGGAUCUCUCCAGACUAGUAUUAGUCUUCAGAUCAGAUCAGCCAUGCAAAUGUCAAUUAGUGUCAGUGCAGCUAGCUAAUCAUUCAGCAGCUAUAUGGACAUGGACGAUCUCCCCUUUGUCAGUCUCUGCAUCCACUGGUGCUGCUACUACCGAUCAAUC